rnacentral:rRNA from 1 species
GACAGAGGUCCCGAGCGUUAGGCGGAAUCACUGGGCUUAAAGCGUGUGUAGGCGGCGCAACAAGUCACUUGUGAAAUCUCCGGGCUUAACCCGGAGCGGCCAAGUGAUACUGUCGUGCUAGAGUGCGGAAGGGGCUACUGGAAUUCUCGGUGUAGCGGUGAAAUGCGUAGAUAUCGAGAGGAACACCUGCGGCGAAGGCGGGUAGCUGGGCCGACACUGACGCUGAGGCGCGAAAGCGUGGGGAGCGAACAGG